rnacentral:rRNA from 1 species
GUGAACGCUGGCGGUAGGCCUAACACAUGCAAGUCGAACGGCAGCACAGUAAGAGCUUGCUCUUACGGGUGGCGAGUGGCGGACGGGUGAGGAAUACAUCGGAAUCUACUUUUUCGUGGGGGAUAACGUAGGGAAACUUACGCUAAUACCGCAUACGACCUACGGGUGAAAGCAGGGGAUCUUCGGACCUUGCGCGAUUGAAUGAGCCAAUGUCGGAUUAGCUAGUUGGCGGGGUAAAGGCCCACCAAGGCGACGAUCCGUAGCUGGUCUGAGAGGAUGAUGGGGCAAAAGGGAAAGUAGAGACGGUGCAGACUACUAAGGGAAGCCAGAGUUGGGAAAGGUUGGCAAAGGGCGAAAGGCUGAAGGAGCAAAUACGGGUGGGGGAAGAAGGGCCUUGGGGUUGUAAAGUCUGUUUGUAGGGAAAAAAAAAUGGGGGAGUAAUUGCGCGCAGCUGGACGGGACCGGAUAAGAAAGGCACGGCCAAAUAUGGG